rnacentral:rRNA from 1 species
GACGUAGGGCGCGAGCGUUGUCCGGAUUUAUUGGGCGUAAAGAGCUCGUAGGCGGCUUGUCGCGUCGAAUGUGAAAACUCGGGGCUCAACUCCGAGCUUGCAUUCGAUACGGGCAGGCUAGAGUUCGGUAGGGGGAGACUGGAAUUCCUGGUGUAGCGGUGAAAUGCGCAGAUAUCAGGAGGAACACCGGUGGCGAAGGCGGCGACCUGGACAAGUACUGACACUCAACUACGAAAGCGUGGGGAGCAAACAGG